rnacentral:tRNA from 1 species
UUCAAAAUAGCUCAGUUGGUAAAGAAUCUGCCUGCAAUGCAGGAGACCCUGGUUUGAUUCCUGGGUUGGGAA